rnacentral:rRNA from 1 species
UCAGGAUGAACGCUGGCGGCGUGCUUAACACAUGCAAGUCGAACGGAGUAUUGACGCUGAGGAGUGGAGAGCUUGCUCAAAGCAAAUCUGUCGAUACUAGUGGCGGACGGGUGAGUAACGCGUGGGUGACCUGCCGUAUGCAGGGGGACAACAGUUGGAAACGACUGCUAAUACCGCAUAUGCACACAGUACCGCAUGGUACAGGGUGGAAAGAAUUUCGGCAUACGAUGGACCCGCGUCUGAUUAGCUAGUUGGUGAGGUAACGGCCCACCAAGGCGACGAUCAGUAGCCGGCCUGAGAGGGUGAACGGCCACAUUGGGACUGAGACACGGCCCAAACUCCUACGGGAGGCAGCAGUGGGGAAUAUUGCACAAUGGGGGAAACCCUGAUGCCAGCGACGCCGCGUGAGUGAAGAAGUAUUUCGGUAUGUAAAGCUCUAUCAGCAGGGAAGAAAAUGACGGUACCUGACUAAGAAGCCCCGGCUAACUACGUGCCAGCCGCGGC